GGCGAACGCUGGCGGCGUGCUUAACACAUGCCAGUCGAACGGAAAGGCCCUGCUUUUGUGGGGUGCUCGAGUGGCGAACGGGUGAGUAACACGUGAGUAACCUGCCCUUGACUUUGGGAUAACUUCAGGAAACUGGGGCUAAUACCGGAUAGGAGCUCCUGCUGCAUGGGGGGGGUUGGAAAGUUUCGGCGGUUGGGGAUGGACUCGCUGCUUAUCAGCUUGUUGGUGGGGUAGUGGCUUCCCAAGGCUUUGACGGGUAGCCCGCCUGGGAGGGUGGACGGCGUCCUUGGUCCUGAGGUACGCACCAGUAUGCUACGGGCCGCAGUGGGGGGGAAUCUUGCGGAGCGGCGCCGAGCGUGUGGUAGAGGUCCUCCGUGCGUAAUACCGGGUUUUGGGUUAUAAACAGAUUUGGCAGUUGCUGAGCACUGCUUGACGGUACCGAAUAAAAAAGCCACGGCUAACUACGUG
rnacentral:rRNA from 1 species